AAGACACAGCUUCAGUUUUCUCUUUCGUAUGCAUUUAUACCUUGUACGGAGAGGUGAGCGGCAAAGGACGCGUAGGACGCAGGGAAAUCCCAGUGAAGUUAACGAUUAUCCACUUUUUUCGUGACAAUCGUCUUUUUGUUAACAUGUUGAUUUUGUACGGUCGAUGGCCGCAAUAUUCCCGGAAACUCUCGCUUAUCAGCGACACCGUUAAUUUCCACAUGGAUCUCCGCAAUUAUUCGUAAUUUUCAUUGCUCUGAUGCUUUCGACGAAAAUCGAGAAAGUCUGUGUUAAUUUUGGAGAUACGACGAUGAAUUAUGAAGAUAACAGUGAAUCAUGGGCAUGGGGCGAUUUUAAAAAACUGAGAAAGUAGGAUAUUGGGUUUUUUGUAACCUUGACGAUAGAAUGUGUGCCGUGUAUUCAUUUAUGAUAUUUUAUGCAAUAUUUAUUUAUAGAAUAUUCGUAGGAUAUUGGUAAAGUAAUUCUAAGUCAUAGAGUUAUUUAUGUUUUAAUCAUUGUAAUUGCAAUGUAAUCUACCGCAUCGGAAUUACUGAUCAUAUUGUCAAUCAUCCAUUUACAUUAAUAUUGAUUACAGGCGGAGAACAAAAAUAGACGUCAAUUCAUAUGACAUUGGAAAUUCCAUCAAUAUUCCAUUCACAGACGAUUAUUUUGUUGUACUUCAUCAUUAUAAUAUACUCAUUUAUUAUGUAUGCAAAUGCACGAGUUGAUUUUCCUUUUUUUAAAUGACAAUCCCAGCGAAAUGCUUCAAAAGCAAACAGAGGAUUGCGAAACAAUUUAUCUUGCGUAGACGAAAUCACAUAAUACUAAUUUACUUUCGUUUUUUUUUGAAGCGGACUCUUAAUCUUGAAAAAAAACUCAGAAAGAGCACUUUAUCUUCAGUUUUGAAAAUAUAAUUUAUUUUACCAUCAAUUCCGAGUAAUUUUAUAUAAUUUUUUUGCCGUUUUGGCAUCUCAAUGGAAAUUUGAUCAAGAUUGCUUCGAUGGUUUGAAAGAAAAUCACUUAAUGGCCCAUUUGUGGAAAAUGGAUCGUAAAACUGAAAACUUCUUGAAAAGAUAGAGCUUAGGCGUAAAUUUAGCACAAGAUAUUGGGUUGGCAACUAAUAUAUCAGAAUUUAAGCAGAAACGAUAAAAUAUAUAUUUAGCACAUAUGUAUAAGUAGCAUUUUAGUCCGAAUCGAAUAAGCAAUCAUAAAAUAAAUAAUUAAAGGAAGCGAUUCCUUCAAUUUUCUUAAAAUCCUGUCAUCUUUCUUGAUUUGUAGGCUCUAAAUUGCUAACCAAUUAAUAGCCUAUGAAUUACGCCAGAAACAGCAAUAGAGAUUAUCUUAAUGCAAUCAUGAAUCAAUAGGAUGGUAAUUUCUGUGGUCUACGUUUUUCUCCCUGUGCAGAUUCCCUUUUUCCUAGCCUUACCUAUGUCGAUUUUUGUUGCGAUAAAGCUAUUAAGAUAACUUAACACCGUCCGAAUUAUUAUCGAUAACUAGCUAAAUUCGAGAAGCUCGUGUCACGUGUAUAUGUUCGUAUCUCAAUUAGACACCAUUUAAAAACAAAUAACUCGUAUCCCAUUGUAGCGAUAUGAUAUUAGAAAAGCUGAAUUAAAACCGAUGUAAAAGAUUCUUGUGUAAUAGCGGAAUAAUUCGAUGUGCUAUUUGAAAAUCGAAAUAAUUUCUCGAAUAUUUUAAUGAUUUAAUGUGAACAGCGAUAUUUCAAUCACGAUAUAGAGAAUUUAACAAAUGAAAUUUAAUCGUGAGAAAAAUUUUAAUACUACGAUGAUCUGUCUAAAUCACGUUCGAGGAAAAUAGUUUUACAAAAACCUUAUCGUUCCAUGCUAAGACACGUAAUAGCAAUCGGAUGUAUCGUCAUCUGUACAUUUACGUUUGCCAAAUCCAUCAAAAGCAACAAGCAUCCGAAGAAAUCACAAGUUGAUCUACUUUACAUACUGCAACGAUCAAAGUGUAAUAAAAUCGAAAAGCUUGUUAAAAUGUGAUAUCUUGCUUCAGCGUCAUGAAAAUAGAACGAUAGAAUUUCCGAAUAUGGAAUCAUCGAUCACGGAAGUACCUACCUUCAGCGAUAGUACCUCGUUGAAGAUGUUGGAAGAUAUCACAGCCAAAGUUUGGAGAACCUUGCCUGUGAUUAGCAUACCUCGAAGUUGGAUACUUACUUAUUGCGUGAAAUACACUGAGAUUUCUGAAGAUGUUGAGAAAGCAACGAUACAGUGCCAAUACGACGGAACAGACUGGGAUUGCACGUUCAUCGAGUUGGUAAAAACUUGUAAUUCAAGAUCCGUACUCGUACUUUAUAAAUAGGCUUCGAAAAUUUGUAAUGUAAAUUCGUAUCUUUAUAAACGCGAUUAAAAGACUAGAAUCUGGAAAGAGAUUCGUUAAAUAUUACAACGAAUACUUUACUUUGCAUAUACAUUUCCAUAUUAUCUGCAUUCCGAACAUGUUUGCAUCUUUAAACCAAUUACUGAGAAUGCAUAAUUGUCAGAAUUGUAUAUCGCUAUUCUUUUCGUUUCUGUCCAUUGUAAUUUUUAAUAACCCAAGGUACUUUUCUUUUAACUCUUGUCUGUUAUAAUAGCUAAGAACGUAAAUACAUAAAACAUGAAAGAUUAAAUGUAUCAGUAAAAACGAAAAACCGAUGACUGGCAGUUUCCUAUUCUUAGCUAAGACUCUUGUUUAGCAAUUUUCGUUGGCACAUACUGUGAAUAAAUCAAAAGUUAACCAGAGGUAAAUUCAAACAAGAGACAAAAUUCAUAUUUUGACACAAUGCCGUGGAUAUUUAAUGUUCCACUACAUUAAAUUUAUGUUGCCAAUUCUGUAUACUUCAGCAAGGAAGUGACAUUUACCUUGGCAUUUUGCACACACUAUGAUUUAUUACAUAAAAUUGCUUAAUACAAUUACUUAAUACGAUUACUGAAUACAAUUGCUUAAUACAAUCUGUUAUUAUUGGCAAUUUCAAGCAAACGCUAACUGUGAAAGCAUUUUACAAAACUCGAAUUUGACUCAUGAUGAUCUUACUUCUAGAAUCUAAAAUAUCGGCUAAUUAAAUUAAACGAUUCUGUCAUUAUUUUAAGCUACGAAAAAAUAUUGAUUUCUCCGUUAAAGUGAAUAAUUUUUUAAUUAUUUUAAAUCAUUCCUAUAGUUGGUUCGAUCUAUUCGUAUCUUCCUACAAAAUCUAAAAAUAGCUUUAAGAAAAAAAUGUUCACUGAAGUUAGUAAAAACUUAAAUAACAACGAAAAAUCAUUAAUCUCUGUAAAGUUGAUACAACUUCGUUCAAGUAUAAUUGAUAACCAGGGUGGAGGGCAAAACGACUUUAACAUUGGAAAAAUCGUCUCAUUAUUUCACAAUCUUUCUAAUCGUGGAUUGAGAUUAAAACUGCUUCGUGCGGCCGAAAUUUGUGGGAAACUCUGGCAGAGCUACAAACAAAUUCAAGAUAAAAGAUUAAUUCGUAUGCGAUUGAACGUUCACGUGAGUUAAUCGUUAAUUUCUUAAAAAUCGUUUGAUUUGUUCGUUUAAUAUUUAUUCCCAUCGAAGGCAAAGAACAGAGAAAAAAGAUUUUCGAAAAGAAAUUGGAGUUUCCGAGGCUCGGGAACAACAGAAAAGAAUUUAAGAAAGAAAAAGCUGGAGGAUCAUGCCGAGGACGUAAAGAAAAGGAGACGAGCUGCCAAGAAAAUGCAAGCCAUUCGAAGGAACUUGUCAAAUAAGAUUACGGAACUUGAAACUAAAGGCAAAUAAAUAACAUCAGAAUAAAUAUUGGUAAAAAAUAACAGUAUCAUAACGACGACAGUAGCAAAUAAUGAUAAUAUAGAUAGUAGUAAAAAUACCUGACAAGACAAUUUAGAAAAAAUUUUAUUCGAAAGAUUCUAAUCCAAUCUAUAGCUGCACUUUUCAAGUUUAAUAACAAUUUUAAUGAUAUUUUCGUCAUAUUAGUUUUUAAUUUUAAUCGUACAUAACGAUAUCCAACGGUAGAAAAAUUGUACGUAAAAGGGAAAGUAAACUGAUUCUUUUCUAAUUGGAAGCAUUAAAAAAGAAAAUCUUAAAUUAUAUGUAAUAAAUUAAUUUUCUAGAAACUUUAAAUCCAGAAGAAGAAACCGAGCUUAAUCGAUUGCGUUUAACAGUGGCGAGAAGACCUCCUGACAAUUUAGAAGAAUAUUCUCUAGCGAAUGAUCGAGCAGAAUUAUCUCGUCUCCAAGAAAUAGGUUUAUGCUUGACGCAACAGGCUGCAAAAGCUUGUGAAUCCACUGUACUCGAUGCAAUCCAAAAAUUAAUAUAAUAAAACCUCGUAUUUUUCGACGAUACCUAUCAUACAACUACAAUAAACCUUAAAGCUUAGAUUACAGGCGUUAUUUGCCUAUUCUCUGGCCAUUUCUCUGCUAUAAUAAAGACAAGUAUACAUGUAAAUAUAAUAAAGACAAAAACGAAAAGAAUUGAUAAAAGCACGACAGCGAUAGAUAUCUAUCAACAUAGUCAACAAAUAACGAAAGACAUUCAUAUCACAUUUUAGUUGAAUUAAUUCGAUACUUGCAAACAUACAUAAUUAAAUAUAAUUUUUCUGUUUCAUACGCUUUAAAUCAUCUUUGAAUUAAUACCAUUGCUUUUUGCUCUUCUGAUUCCAUAUAUAUUAUAUGUACGAUAAAUCUGGCUUUGUCGUUAUAUAUAACGAACAUUUGCCUCUAAGUUCAAACACUAAUCUUAGAUCAAAUUAAUCUAAAUUAAAUUUCUUAGGUGCACGAUAAAAUAGUAAUACUACGCAUCUAAUAAGCAAAAUAUAUUAUAUUUAUCUUAACGAUUGAGGACUGCUUAUCGCUAUAUCAACAUUUUAUAGCUCUAAUUUCUCGAAUGUGUAUUUUCAUUUCGACACGAGAGAUUCGUCUGUUAUCAUUCUACAUAUGAAAUACUUAACCAUGCUAUCUUACGUAUUUCGUUCAAUUUGAAUACUCAAAUACGUGCAAUCGGAUCACAAAUACGAUCGAACUGUAUCAACUAGAUUUUGGCGAAAUUUUUUUAUGAUCAAAAAGCGAUCCAUUCCAUCAGAUUGUAUAUAUUUACAAUUAUUGGCCUUUCUUCGUCAAUUUUUCAAACUUCAAAGAUAUUUGUACAAUGUUAAUAACGAUAUUAGCAAGCAUGAUUCUUUUAUACUGUCACACGCUAAACGACGGUCGUACCUCUAUAAUAUCAAAUGUCAUGGCACAAGACACCAACACGGAUAUAUAUUUUGAUAAAUUAAAUACCAGUCUGUUCGAAGUAUAUCCCGUAUUGAUUUCACCAAACUGGGUAAAAAUAUGAAAUCAUCGACAAAAGUCUCCAUACAGCGAUAAAAAGUCAGAGUUUUUAUUAAAGUAAAAAAUCAUUAAAAUAUCAUUGCAAAGUUAGUGGAUACUACUUUAAGAAAAACUUCAAACAAAAAGAAUUCUUACUCGGCUAAGAGCUAUAUUAUAUUUUUUCUUCGUAUAACAAUAAUAAAAAACUAAUAUUUCAAAUUACCCUCUAUUUUAAAAAAUUGUCUUUUUAUAAGAUGUACAAAGACUUUAUGUAACAUUAUCACUGAUUGUAUAAAUUCUUUAUUAAAUAUGAAAUACAUCAUACAUAUAUAAAAAUACAUAUAUGAUUCUUGUUAUAACGGAUGAAAUAUUUAUAAAUACAAGUACAGGUAUAAAAAGACAUAUGUAUAUACAAUAUCUUCAAAAUUCUCUCUUUUUUUUUACAAAUACUAAUUAUUGAUAUUUAUAUGCAGAUAUUACAAAUCUGUUUGAAAGAAACUUCGUUAUUAGAUAAAUUACACUCGCAUAUAAGCGAUUGCAGCAAUUAUCCCUGUAUGUUUUCAAAAAUCAUUGAAAACGAGUCGAUGAAAUCCGUUGUAUCCAUAAUACGAAGUGAUACAAUAGACGAUGUCAUCGGUAAGGAGUUCAAACAAAAUAUACAAGACUGUACAGUUUGGUGGAAAUUAUUCAAACAUUUCAAUAAGAAUGCAAGUGCUCGUCGUGAGUUAGGCAGAUGCUUGUUUCAAACGUUUUCAUUCGUAAGCAAUGAUUCAAACAAUGGUGAAAAAAAAGAGGAAUACGUUUAUGAGAGAGAAUGAAAUAAAUUAGAUAAAAAGAAUCUUCAUUAAAACGCAUUAUUUUAUGUUUGUAGAAAUGUAGAGAACCCGUUUUGGAUAAAGUAAGAUUACUCUUAUUUAACACGAAAGAAAAAUGAAGGUAAUAUUAGUAUGGAUCACAGCAUCGGAAUAAUUGAACACUGGAAGAGGAAUAUUAAAAUCUUUUUGUAAAAAGAUCGUUUGUUAAAAAAUAGAACUUUUAUAUAUUUCUCAAAUAUAACAAUUAUACAUUCAGAACACUGUUUUUAUAGGAAUCCUUAAUACUAAUAUCUUCUACAUUUUACGCAAAAUUAUAUAAUUCGUAGGUAUUUGUGUCCCCUGUUGUACAAAUUGAUUUCGUAGCACCCAGAUUUCAUAACACUUAAUACAUAUUAUUAAAAAUAUAAUACUGUAUGCUACAUGUUUUAUCAACACAGACGUAUUAUAUCUAUAAUACACAAUAGCAUUUUAUUGAGGAACUUAAUUGAUAUUAGUAAGAUAAAAGAUUAGUAAGAUAUUUAGAAAAGGAAAAAGUUAACAUUAAAUGUCGAUAAAUCGAAGGUUCUUCAUUCCGGAAAAGGAGGCGGUAGAAGUAAGAAGAGAAAAUGGGAAUGGAAAGAAAAAGAAUUGGAGCAAAUAAUACAAUAUCUUAAAUAUUUAGCAUAUAUUUUUAGUAAAAGCGAGAAAAAUAUAGAACAGUUGAAAGGGUUGAUAAGGAAAGGUAAUCUGGCAUUAAAGCAAAUGUGUGGAAUUGAAGUUUAUUUGACUUAUUGGAAAUAAAUUUAUUUGACAGUCUGGUAAAGAAGCCAAAUUGAUCGGUAUCUAGGGCGAGAUAUAAUAAUUUAAAGGAAACAGAGAUAAUAUUAGGAAAUUGAUAUGAUGACAAACACAGAGUAUGUAUGAUAUGGGGAAUGGGCGAUCCGAUAUAACACUUUCUAAGGCUGUACAGUGGGAUUGAAAAAGGAAAUGUAAAAAUUGAGGAGAUUUUGAGCAAUAAGGGCUCAAAAGAAGGGACAAAAUGGCUAGAGAUGUUGGAUAGAGAAAGGAAGAAGAGGACAGAGAUGUGCGAGUCAAUUGCGGACAACGGUUAGAGCUGAUGUUAAUGGGGUUAAAAGGGAAG